CAAACUGGGAUUAGAUACCCCACUAUUUUUAGUUGUAAAUUUAGUUUAAGCUUACCAGAGUACUACGAAUAAAAAAGUUUAAAACUCAAAGGGCUUGGCGGUGUUUUAGACCUCUCAGGGGAACCUGUCUCGUAAUCGACAGUCCGCGCUAAACCUAACCUUUUAUAGCAAUACAGCUUGUAUACCGUCGUCGUCAGGUAACUUCUUAAAAUAUAGUAGUUAGCCCGAGAAUCAAGUUAAUUAGGACGUCAGAUCAAGGUGCAGCCAAUAAAGAGGUGAGGAUGGGUUACAAUUACAUAUUUGUAAAUACGGAAAAUAUUUGAAAUAUAGUAUCAUAAAGGAGGACUUGAAAGUAAUUUUAGUUAUAUGGAUAAAAUGAAUAUGGCUCUGAAACGUGCACACACCGCCCGUCACCCUCUGCAGUCAA
rnacentral:rRNA from 1 species